rnacentral:tRNA from 1 species
GGCGUUGUGGCUCAGUGGUAGAGCGCUUGCCUAGCACGUGGGUUCGAACCUCAGCACCA